AUAUGACUGGCAGUUUCACCCCAUCUACAUUGUUUCCAAGAGCUCACACUGUGUGCAUGCAUGUGUGUGUGGGUCUGAGUGUUAAGAUCUCCAGCUAGUAAAAAGCUUCAGAGAAAACUGCACUGUGUUUAUUUCCCUUCAGUUGGUUUGUGGGCUUCUGGAUUUUUUUUUUUACCUCUUUUCUCUGGACUUACCAAGGAAAAAAAUGCAGGACGUCUUUGGGAUCCUGUUGAUGUUCACAGGAGCUGCAUCAGGUUUGCUGUUUCAGGAUCCUGUUGUCUGUAGAUUUACUGAGACUAAGCAGUGUUUUGUGGCUCUGGGACAACAACUGCACCUGAAAAUGCCCCUGGAGGAAACGCUUCUUCUUGAUCAGUUCAUCAGUGAGACAUCUGGUGCUCGUCGAAUUUUAAGAUAUAGAAAAGCCGAUAGUCUCCCACCAAAACCACUUCUCCCAUGGCAGUUUGUUAAUGAUAAUAAAACUCUGAUCCUCAGCAGUGUAGAGAGGAGUGACUCUGGAAAUUACACUUUAAUCACCUUUGAUGCAAACGGGAAUACUAAAGGCGAUUAUAAUCUCCAGGUGAUCAUUGAAGCUAAAGUGUCUUCAGUAAAAGUGUCCUGCAGCUGCUUGGCAACUGAAGUCAUGAAAGUGGAUUGUUCUGCUGAUGGAGACAACCUCCGCUUCACCUGGACUUCUGAUUCAAACAUAGUCGUUCUAUUGGAGAACGGGAACAGGAGUUUCGAACUGGUUAAAGACGAUCAUCGAAGUGUCACCUGCCAUGUAGAAAAUCACGUCAGCUGUGAAACUGAGACCACUGAACUCUGCCCAUGUCCUGUCAUCAGUUCCACACAGUGUAAUAAUGGUUUCAUGGUGUUUGUGUCUGUGUGGCUCUUUGAAGUCAUCAUCCUGCUGUCGCUGUUAGUGGGAGCGUUUUAUAUUUACACCAGAAUCUACAGGAAGCAGAGAAUAACUGAGAAUCAGGAUCAGGAAGCUCUGUAAACCUGGAUCAGGAACAGAAGAAUCAGUCCAUGGUUGCUCUCCUCCAUCCAGCAACUCAUCCACACUGAACCUCCAGAAAAAGAUAACCAUCAGUAACAGAUGGUGGACGAGUUAGUGGUGAUUUACAUGCUCUGGAAAAGGAGAAGAGGAGAAAGACAAUCACCCUCAUAGUAACUUUACGCAUCUUUCCUAUGGCUAAUGAAUCCUAUUUGCCAUGAAAGGCACAGUUACAGUCAGGGCAUGUGAUGUUGCAGUCUGGGACUGGAGGGACUCGUGUUUUCCGGGCUGCCCUUUUCUCCUCAGGUACACGUGCGAGUUCCUUUUCUAAGAAUACACUGUCAUGGAAGAGUACAUUCAAGAGGUGCUGCAAUCAGGCUAUAUCCAUCUGUCCAUGUGU